rnacentral:rRNA from 1 species
CAAGGAAUUUUCCGCAAUGGGCGAAAGCCUGACGGAGCAACGCCGCGUGGGGGAGGACGCCCUUCGGGGUGUAAACCUCUUUUCUUGGGGACGACGAACGACGGUACCCGAGGAAGAAGGCCCGGCUAACUACGUGCCAGCAGCCGCGGUAAUACGUAGGGGCCGAGCGUUGUCCGGAGUUACUGGGCGUAAAGCGCGCGCAGGUGGCUGCGCAAGCCUGGCGUGAAAGCCCCCGGCUCAACCGGGGAGGGUCGUCGGGGACUGCGUGGCUUGAGGGCGGGAGGGGCUGGUGGAAUUCCCGGUGUAGUGGUGAAAUGCGUAGAGAUCGGGAGGAACACCCGUGGCGAAGGCGGCCAGCUGGACCGACCCUGACACUGAGGCGCGAAGGCGUGGGGAGCGAACGGG